rnacentral:rRNA from 1 species
AACGAACGCUGGCGGCAUGCCUAACACAUGCAAGUCGAACGAGACCUUCGGGUCUAGUGGCGCACGGGUGCGUAACGCGUGGGAACCUGCCUUUAGGUUCGGAAUAACUCAGAGAAAUUUGAGCUAAUACCGGAUGAUGUCUUUGGACCAAAGAUUUAUCGCCUUUAGAUGGGCCCGCGUUGGAUUAGCUAGUUGGUGGGGUAAAGGCCUACCAAGGCGACGAUCCAUAGCUGGUCUGAGAGGAUGAUCAGCCACACUGGGACUGAGACACGGCCCAGACUCCUACGGGAGGCAGCAGUGGGGAAUAUUGGACAAUGGGCGAAAGCCUGAUCCAGCAAUGCCGCGUGAGUGAUGAAGGCCUUAGGGUUGUAAAGCUCUUUUACCCGAGAUGAUAAUGACAGUAUCGGGAGAAUAAGCUCCGGCUAACUCCGUG